ensembl:lncRNA
GUCUGCAUACAGAAACCAGCUGGAGAAAGGGCUGCAAGAUCAAGCAUCACUUUUUGUGGUUUGCACAGUUCGGAGCAUGGAUGUUUUAUUUCACAGAAUAAUUGAAUUCACCGGAUAAAAUUUGUGGUUAAUAUAGUUGUGAAUUAUUCCAGGAGCACUAGACACUGGGUCUCAAGAGUUCAUUUUGGCCUGGAAAUGGACCCCACCUUUCAGCAAUGGCAUACUAAACAGGAGACUGGAACUUCUGAGAGGAUGCUGAGGAACCAAAGUGAAUAGCAUGGAGACAAUCCUCAGCAGCUAGACUGUCUGCUUCUAGUCCUAAUGCAUUUAACUGGAGAGGAGAAUACUCUGCUGGCCCUGAUGAAUAUGUGUUAAGUGCCAUUUUCAGUACAUAACAGCUUUUUAGACAGCUGCUCACCCUUAUUGUCUUGCCUGUUGCAGUUUCCUUUCCACUGUCUAUCCUAAAAAGUUAAAUAUAGCCAUCCAAGAUGCAGCAGUCCUGAAAAGGUACCACUUGUUGGAUGUGGUAUGUUCUUUUAUUCUCAUCAAUUCCUCAUUCUUUUUGAACCUGACGUAUAAUCCCUUGUAAAUGGCUCUCUUUAUGCUGCAAUUUGGAGCUGUUCCACUUGAUAAUUUAUGCUAUCGUCACUGGUUAGCAUGAUCCCUAAUCUCAGUAGCUUUUAUCAAGCUUUUUAUCAGAGGUACUGCUUUGAGUUGUUUGUA